rnacentral:rRNA from 1 species
CCUACGGGUGGCAGCAGUGAGGAAUAUUGGUCAAUGGACGCAAGUCUGAACCAGCCAUGCCGCGUGCAGGAAGACGGCUCUAUGAGUUGUAAACUCCUUUUGUACGAGGGUAAACGCCGAUACGCGUAUCUGACUGCACGUAUCGUACGAAUAAGGAUCGGCUAACUCCGUGCCAGCAGCCACGGUAAUACGGAGGAGUCAAGCGUUAUCCGGAUUUAUUGGGUUUAAAGGGUGCGUAGGGGGGCGGAUAAGUUAGAGGUGAAAACCCGGGGCUCAACUUCGGAAUUGCCUCUGAUACUGUUGGGCUGGAGAGUAGUUGCGGCAGGCGGAAUGCAUGGUGUAGCGGUGAAAUGCUUAGAGAUCA